UACGUAGGGGGGCAAGCGUUGUCCGGAUUUAUUGGGCGUAAAGAGCGUGUAGGCGGCCUGACAGGUCUGCUGUGAAAACUCGAGGCUCAACCUCGAGAUGUCGGCGGAAACCGUCUGGCUAGAGUCCGGAAGAGGAGAGUGGAAUUCCUGGGUGUAGCGGUGAAAUGCGCAGAUAUCAGGAAGAACACCUAUGGGCGAAGGCAGCUCUCU
rnacentral:rRNA from 1 species